CGGAAUUUCGUGUGACCAACAUAUUAGCAGUGCAGAUUUCGACUAUUCAUCUGAUUGCCAUUACUAUCGACAGGUCGGUAAUUACAACUUGUAAUGAAUCGGUCGCGCCUUCAUCACAAGAAGGAAUACGACGCGCGCACCACUUCCAUCGAAAAAUGUACCCCAGAAAAAUCCAAUAGGCGCACGUGGGUGUUCACAAACGCGGGAGUGUAAGCGUUAGCAUUAUAAAUGUAUAUGUUGCCUACCGACCAAUUUAUGCGAUCAAUGAGUCGGGUGAUAGAAAAUGAU